rnacentral:rRNA from 1 species
UACGAAGGGGGCUAGCGUUGCUCGGAAUUACUGGGCGUAAAGGGCGCGUAGGCGGACAGCUUAGUCAGAGGUGAAAGCCCAGGGCUCAACCUUGGAACUGCCUUUGAUACUGGCUAUCUUGAGUUCGGGAGAGGUGAGUGGAAUGCCGAGUGUAGAGGUGAAAUUCGUAGAUAUUCGGCGGAACACCAGUGGCGAAGGCGACUCACUGGCCCGAUACUGACGCUGAGGCGCGAAAGCGUGGGGAGCAAACAGG